AACGAGGCCGACCUGCGGCUGAGUUACCUGCGGAGGGAUCAUUACACAAUACAAUAUGAAGGCUGUCCGCAGCUGGAGUAUUUUAUUACCCUUGUCUUUUGCGCACUUGUUGUUUCCUGGGCGGGUUCGCUCGCCACCAGGACCACCAAAUAAACCUUUUUUAUGCAGUUGCAAUCAGCGUCAGUACAAACAAUGUAAAUCAUUUACAACUUUUAGCAAUGGAUCUCAGAUCGGAAGAGC
rnacentral:misc_RNA from 1 species